UUGGAGGGCAAGUCUGGUGCCAGCAGCCGCGGUAAUUCCAGCUCCAAUAGCGUAUAUUAAAGUUGUUGCAGUUAAAAAGCUCGUAGUUGAAUUUCGGGGUCAGUAGGUUGGUCGUGCCUAUGGUAUGUACUGGCUUUACUGAUUCCUCCUUCUUGAAGAACUGUAAAGUCAUUAAUUUGGUGUUGCAGGGAAACAGGACUGUUACUUUGAAAAAAUUAGAGUGUUUAAAGCAAGCUAACGCUUGAAUACAUUAGCAUGGAAUAAUGAAAUAGGACGUUCGAUCCUAUUUUGUUGGUUUCUAGGAUUGACGUAAUGAUUAAUAGGGAUAGUUGGGGGCAUUAGUAUUCAAUUGUCAGAGGUGAAAUUCUUGGAUUUAUUGAAGACUAACUACUGCGAAAGCAUUUGCCAAGGAUGUUUUCAUUAAUCAAGAACGAAAGUUAGGGGAUCGAAGACGAUCAGAUACCGUCGUAGUCUUAACCAUAAAUUAUGCCGACUAGGGAUCGGAUGAUGUUAAUUUUCUAAUGACUCAUUCGGCGCCUUACGGGAAAC
rnacentral:rRNA from 1 species